GGGAGAAGGGAAUUUCUGGUGGGAGAAACAGAGCCUGCAAAGGAAACCCAUCCCCCAUAUCAAUACUGCUGUUUACCAGUCCUUGACCAAGUGCCAUAGACCCAAACCUUCACAAUCAGGACACCGGAGCACCACUGACUGAUGGCCCUAAUAAGGUCCCACCGAAUGACUGCACAAGACAAGAUGGCAAUGAUCAAUCUGCCUCCUUACUGCUGUAUUCCCCUGGAUGCUGCCUGAACAGGGCCCAGCUUCAAUAUCAUUUGUUGAAUGGACAAAUAAAUGAAUGAGUGG